GGCUGAGUGGGCUUGCAUGCAGGAAGUGCGCCUGGGGGCGCAUUACGACUUGGUACCUUGCGUCGCCUCAUGUUGCCUUAGGAAGGUCUCUCGCCUGAAGUGCUCCUAGGCGCUGUGCCAAUCGACUCCCUCGCCUUGCGCUUCAGGCGCGCCUUUAGUAACACUGCUAGAUAGAGGACAACUACUUUACUCAAUUUUCAGGCACAGCGCCUCUUACUUCGAAAAAAUAUUCAGCCCUUAAUAACCAGCUUUCAAGCCCAUCCACAUUGAACUUGGGAAAUUAUAGUUCUGUUGAAUGUCCCCAAGUUGGAGCUGCUGUCAUUCCUGCUGUCUCUACUUGCCUUUCUAUCUCUGGUGGGUUCGGAGCAUUAGCGACUCCCAUGCUGUUUAUACUCAAUGCCCCUACGAGGUUAUGAACCUCUUCCAGCAUUUGGUGGUUAAGCUGUUCAGAGGUGCGCAACAGAGCUUUUCCUUCUUCAGAUCUUGCAAUCUUGUUCCUUUUGCCAUGGCUGAGAGUUGGUGGCUCUGAUACCAACUGUUGCAGAUUUAGGAUUUAGAAGUAGGAUUAGGAUGGAGGAAGAAAUGA
rnacentral:misc_RNA from 1 species